ACCGCCAUCCCGCAAAACCCACGAUGCCGCCGCCGCCGCCGCAAAAUACUUCCUCAUGCUGCUGAUGGCUCAGUAAUACUGUGUUUGACCGCACCGUGCGUUCCCACCUCUGCUGCAGUCCGUCGUCUGUUCAAGGCCAUGGCCGAGGAUGAAGCCGUCACAGGCCAGUGCUGCAACUUCCUUUUCUCUUUUGCCGAUCUCGCAUUCUUCCCAUAUUGCAAAUCUUCAGAAAUUGUCCUAAGAUGCAGUCCAAGGAUUCUGAAAACAGCUGCACGUGCAGCCCAGCCUAUGCUAUUCUCUAAUUUGCAGAUAAAAGUGCUUUGAAAAUUUAGAGGGCUCACGAUGGUACGAGAUGUUUCACUUUAGAGGAUUCUCCGUCAUGGUUGGAGUGCAGUAUGGCGUCCAACUUUCAGAUUAGCAGAGCGAGGUGCAUGCUUUCUGGUUCUGCGUUGUGCACAUCAGCGAUCGACAGGAGUAGCCUAAGAUGCAGUCCAAGGAUUCCGAAAACAGCUGCACGUGCAGCCCAGCCUAUGCUAUUCUCUAAUUGGUAGAUAAAAGUGCUUUAAAAAUCUAGAGCGCUCAAGAUGGUACGAGAUGUUUCACUUCAGAGGAUUCUCCAUCAUGGUUGGAGAGCAGUAUGGCGUCCAACUUUCAGAUUAGCAGAGCGAGGUGCAUGUUUUUUUGGUUCUGCGUUCUGCACAUCAGCGAUCGACAGGAGCAACCUAAGUUGGUGUCCAAGGAUCCCGAAAACAGCUGCACGUGCAGCCCAGCCUAUGUCUUUCUCUAAUUGGAAGAUAAAUCUGCUUUGAAAAUUUAGGGCGCUCAACAUGGUACGAGAUGUUUCACUUCUCAACACAUCUCCUUUUUUUGAGUUUUCUUAAAACUAAUUAUUGUAGAAUUAUAUUUCUUUAUUUCUCAUAAAGUGGUCUGUACAAUAUAUAUUAUAUAGUACAACUUAUCGACUAAGAAAGCAAUACCACAUGAGGCACAACACUCUAGGCGCAAUAGGACAUGGAAAUAUCACACAACCUGGAUUGUUCAAGUCAGCGCUGCUGGGACGCGUUGUUCUGCAAGCAACAGCUGCUACCAUCCAGUUCAAUAGACCAGGAAAAUCAAAACCUUCAUAAAUUCAUGUUGAGAUGCAGGCGUGUGUAUAAGCAUGAAGUGAAGUCUAUGUCGGUUGCUCAUGGUACACGAGUAUAUACAGCAGUUGCUGCGUGUUCGGCCAGGAGUAGUGUGAACUCUUAAGCAGCUUCAAUUGCAGACGAUGGGCUCACAUCCAUCUCCAUAGCAUAAACAUCGUGCACGUCACUGAUUUGUGCAUAUAUGUAAAGCGGCGAAACAAGAUCAGCAGGCUAGCACAUCCAACGCCUAUAGGUAUUCGAUCUACCGGAGGUUAUCCCUUCUCAGCAACUUCAUAACCUGACCUUGACGUAAAUGGAGACAAAGUUAUAUGAAACGGCGUACAAGCAGUUACUCAAGCACCCUGAUCUGCGCCUCUGUCAUAGUCAAGGUGCAUUGGUUCAUAAGGUUUAGAGUCCAGAAGGAGCAUGUCCAAUUGCUAACAACAGGUUUGAUCUGGGGUUGCCACAUUUUGCAAAAGUAAUUCCUGAAAUUUUUUAAACCAGAAGGACACAAUUGAAGUUGUGU